rnacentral:lncRNA from 1 species
GCUGGGAGGUGGUGUGGGCAGACAACCCUGAAGGAUGGAGUCUGGAUCUGUCACGCAGGCUGGAGUGCAGUCGCGCGAUCUCAGCUCACUGCAACCUAUGCCUCCCAGGUCAAGCGAUUCUCCUGCCUCGGCCUCCCAAGGAACUGGAACCACAGGCGCGCGCCACUGCGCCCAAGGAUUUUCACUUUUAACUGUACAGUGAAGCACAGACUUCUGAGCCAGACUGCUUGGUCUGAACUCUGGUGUCACCACUUAGUAAGUUCUGGUUUGAAUGUACUCACUGAGUGGUCUUCAUAAAUUACCUCUCUGCACUUGAGUCUCCUGUCUGUAAAAUGGGGAUAAUAAUCAUUACAACGAAGCCUCAUAGGAUUCUGGUGGAGACCAAAUGCAUUAAUACAUAUGCAAAGCAUUUGGAACAGCUGGCAUAUAUAAGUGCCAUAUAUCUAUUAUUAAAAAUUUUUAAAUUAUAGAAUGGAUUAAUUUUUGGAUUUUAUAAGCAGAUUCCGCCCCCC